CUUCACCUAACGUCAAACCAUUCUCAGCAAGCCAGAAACCUAGGCCUCCGUUUUCUAAUUUACCUUAAAAUCAUGUACUAGAGCCCUUAAUUUAUAUCCCAUGUUCUAAUACUCAAAACUAGGCCCAAACGUCUUAAAAUGCUGUUAUAGAAGCUUACAACCUUGUUGAAAAGGCAAAAUAGUUGAAAACAAAUAAAUUUUUGAGAAACAGGACGUGUGCACCCGCACAUAUCAGAAGUAAUGAAAUUCUGCAACUUUGGAAAAUUUCAGAUUUUUAACACCAACUUUGAAUGAUCAUAACCUCCUCUACCAAAUUCCAAUUUUUUUACAAACUUUAUAUCGAUUCGAACAGUUUUCAAUAAGCUUUAAUGCUAAACUAAUUUCAAUAGAUUUUGAAAACCAAGGCAUAAGUUAUGAUUAGACAAA
rnacentral:lncRNA from 1 species